GAGAGAUCAGAAGAAGAAGAUAUAUGGAAACAGAAGCAAAUUGACAUGGAGAAGGAGGGAAGAGAGAGGGAGAACAAGAUACAGAGAAAGAUAGAAGAGAUACACAGACGACAACAAGAGGAGCGACAGAAACAAAUGGAGAAAGAGAAAGAAAGGGAGAAAGACAAUGAGAAUCAGGGAGAGAUGGAAUUAAAAGAUCAGCAACAGAAAAAGAUGGAGAAAGAAAAUAUGAUUAUGAGAGAGAGGGAGGAAGCAGGAAGAAGAAAUGAGGGGCAGAAUGAACUGGAGAUAGAACAGGAGAGAGAGAUGGAAGAAAAGCAGGAAGUGAUUAUUAAGAAAGCAGAGGAAGAGUACAUGGAAAGAGAAGAGAGAGGAAAGGAAGUAAGCAUGAAGAAAGAUGUAGUAGUUAAUGUUAAAGCUAAAGCACGGGAAGUCUUCAAUAGACGUAAAGAGAGGAGGUUAGAAGUGUUGAAGGGGGAACGAGAACACAUAGAAAGAGGACAACAAAUCAGGAGGGAGAAGGAGGAAAGACGGCUGGAGAUGGAAAGAAAACAGGAGAGGGCAAGACAACAAGAGGAGCAGGAUAAAAAACGAGAGAUUGGAAUUGCCAGACAGAAAGAAAUGUUCAGACUAAGAGAGGAGGAGAGGCAGAGAGAGGAAAAGAGAGAGGAGGAGAGAAAGAGAGCCAUUGAAGGCCAUUUAGCUUUAAUCAGAGAGAGAGAGAACAUCAUAAAGGCAAACAUAAGAGAGGAGAUGUCAGAAGAGGAAAGAAGAGAGAUCCCUGGGAAUUACAAGAUGGGUGAGACAGAGAACAGUGAAGAGGAGGAGGAGAAAGAAGAUGACAAGGAGGACAUUCUCCCACCUGAUAAAAGUAGCCGAAGGAGAGCUGUGGACUGGGUGAAUAAGAAGUGGGAGAAGAGGAACCUCAAAAAGAUCGAGAGAACGUAUCAGAGAGAGGCUGAGGAGGGCUAUAAGAUCGUCCACAUAGCCAUCCCUGGACACACAAGGCUAACAUCCACCAUGACCCGGGCAGAGAGAGAGGGAGAAGAGGAAGGAGCUGCUGAAGGAUGAGGAGAGAAGGAAGAAGUUGGAGGAUUUCAAUAAGCAGUGGAGAGAGCAGUCCCUGCUUAAAAAAAGGACUCAUCAGAAACUGAAGGAGGAGAGGGAGAGAGAGAGGAUAAAGGAAAAGUACCUGGAGCAGAUGAAUCUGGAGGCUGAUGCUCAAAUCAACACCCGGUGUCCAACCACCCAACACAGCCACGAUUCCAACCACGGUCAGGCAUUGCCGGGAUGGGCCACAGGCCAACAGGUAAGCCAAGAGCCUGUUGGAUCUGGAGAUGGCCAGCAGGAGGGGCCAAGGAGGCAGCAGGCAUGGGCAGAGAACCAGGAGUGGAGUUCAGAGAACCAGCAGGAGUGGAGUUCAGAGAACCAGCAGGAGUGGCCAGAGAACCAGCAGGAGUGGCCAGAGAACCAGCAGGAGUGGCCAGAGAACCAGCAGGAGUGGCCAGAGAACCAGCAGGAGUGGCCAGAGAACCAGCAGGAGUGGAGUUCAGAGAACCAGCAGGAGUGGAGUUCAGAGAACCAGCAGGAGUGGCCAGAGAACCAGCAGGAGUGGAGUUCAGAGAACCAGCAGGAGUGGCCAGAGAACCAGCAGGAGUGGAGUUCAGAGAACCAGCAGGAGUGGAGUUCAGAGAACCAGCAGGAGUGGCCAGAGAACCAGCAGGAGUGGAGUUCAGAGAACCAGCAGGAGUGGAGUUCAGAGAACCAGCAGGAGUGGAGUUCAGAGAACCAGCAGGAGUGGCCAGAGAACCAGCAGGAGUGGCCAGAGAACCAGCAGGAGUGGCCAGAGAACCAGCAGGAGGGGCCAGAGAACCAGCAGGAGUGGCCAGAGAACCAGCAGGAGUGGCCAGAGAACCAGCAGGAGUGGCCAGAGAACCAGCAGCUGGAAGCUCCAGAAGAGGCUGAAACAUCAGAGCCAACCUCCAAGAACAAGAAAAGGCCAAGCAUCUGGAAGAGAAUUAAGAUGAGCAUUCCUGACGUGCUGCCUGCCUAGAGCUGGAACUCGAUGAAGCCACAUUUCCUCCACAAAACAUUAUAUUCUCCUCAAGCCAGAAAGUAUCCUCUUUAUCAAGGCAACAAACCAUCUAAGGUCAGUGACUCUCCUCCCCAGAGCAGAGAUUCUCAUCUCUUUCCAAGUUGAAUUCAUCUCUGCUCACCACCUCUACUGUCCUAGAAAAUAUCCCCAAAUGGACAUGGUUUAAAUAGAAGUCCUCCCCUCAGACCAGUGGCUCCACAGACCAGAGUUUCUCAUCUUUAUUCAAGUUGAACGCAACUCUGAUCAUUUCCACCACCUCACCUGUCCUAGACCUAGAAGAUAACUCCCAAUAAAUGAUGGUACAAGUUGAGAGGCACAGGGACAGCCAUGGAGCAGCACCUCUUGGGUGAAGAGCCAUUUCAGGAUUAAGUGCCUUGAUCUAGGGUACAACGACAGGAGAUGGUCCCUAGGAGCAGAGCCUAGCAGCUCCAUGGUUGCUAGUUCAGUUCCCACUGCUGGUCUUAGGUGUUAAGGGGAGGUGCUGAAAAGGGAGGUCUGGGAAGAGUUCAGGGAGGUCUGGGAGGAGGUCUUCAGGUAGCCUGGACCGGACCAGUAGCAACUAAAUUCAAUCCCUGGGCAGAGCUGCACAAGUCAGGCCAGUGAUCUUGGAUGAUGUCAUUUUUGUUAGCAAAAUUUUAAGCUUUAAUAAAACCAUUCAUUAAAAAAGUUA
rnacentral:lncRNA from 1 species